CUCUGUCUCUGCCAGCAUUCAUAGUAAGCCUCCAUUUGCCCCCCCUUUUUUUUACUUUACCAUCUGUUGAUUAUGCUGAAAUAGAGAGUCUUUUAUGGAAAGGGGAGGGGGGGAAAAUGUGUGUUUUUAUAUAUUUGGAUUUGGAAUGUAUUAGUAGCGUUAAGUGCUUGAUCCGCUCUAGAAUCUUUGAAAAUCUUUCAGUUUGUUUGUCUAUGUGGGAUUCUUUACUCUUUCUGGAAUGUGGGUUCUAGUUUUGUGCAUCUUCAUUAAUUUGAGUCUUGGCAUUGUUUCAGAUUUUGUUCAAACAAGGUAGUUGUGUGAUUUUAAUUUUCAUAAAUCCUAACAUUAGAUCUCUGCUUUAAACCCAACUCUUCUCUAUUGGGAGCACUUGUGGUAUUUUUUUCUGUUUUU
rnacentral:misc_RNA from 1 species